UGAGCAAUCUGCCCUUCUCUUCGGAAUAAGCGUUGGAAACGACGUCUAAUGCCGAAUACGACCUCCUUUCGCAUGAUCGGAGGUGGAAAGCUCCGGCGGAGAAGGAUGAGCUCGCGGCCUAUCAGCUAGUUGGUGUGGGUAAUGGCCCACCAAGGCGACGACGGGUAGCCGGCCUGAGAGGGUGACCGGCCACACUGGGACUGAGACACGGCCCAGACCUCCGUACGGGAGACAGCG
rnacentral:rRNA from 1 species